rnacentral:rRNA from 1 species
GACGAACGCUGGCGGCGUGCCUAAUACAUGCAAGUCGAGCGGACUAAUGGGAGCUUGCUCCCGUUAGUUAGCGGCGGACGGGUGAGUAACACGUGGGCAACCUACCUGUAAGACUGGGAUAACUUCGGGAAACCGGAGCUAAUACCGGAUGACAUAAAGGAACUCCUGUUCCUUUAUUGAAAGAUGGCUUCGGCUAUCACUUACAGAUGGGCCCGCGGCGCAUUAGCUAGUUGGUGAGGUAACGGCUCACCAAGGCGACGAUGCGUAGCCGACCUUGGAUGGUGAACGGCCACCCUGGGACUGAGACACGGCUCACGCUCCUACGGGAGGCAGCAGUAGUGAUUCUUCCGCAAUGGCCGUAAGUCUGACGGAGCAACGCCGCGUGAGCGAUGGAGGCCUUCGGGUCGUACAGCUCUGUUGUUAGGGAAGAAUAAGGGCUAGUUGAAUCAGCUGGCACCUUGACGGUACCUAACCAGAAAGCCACGGCUAACUACGUGCCAGACGCCGCUGUAA